CUUGGGUUAGGACAUUGUGCUGUUUGAGGAAACAUCUCCAGGGCCUUUCCAGAAGGAUUUUUUGUAGAUGAAUCAGAUUUAUUGUUCAGACUUACCAAGAAGAUAGAGACUGAGAAUCUUUGAAGAAACAAAUGAGAAAUAAAAGAGAAACAUUCUGAGGUUGCAACAGAAUCUGGAAGUUUGUAGUCUUGGUUUUUCUCCUAUCAUGGUUAUUUCAAUUCUGAUUAUCUUAUUUGUGAUUCUCUUUAGCCCUGGCCUCUCCAAGGCUAA